rnacentral:rRNA from 1 species
GACGAACGCUGGCGGCGUGCUUAACACAUGCAAGUCGAACGGUGACCCAGGGCUUGCCCUGGUGAUCAGUGGCGAACGGGUGAGUAACACGUGGGCAACCUGCCCCUGACUUCGGGAUAACUCCUCGAAAGAGGAGCUAAUACCGGAUACGACCACUUCGGACAUCCGAUGGUGGUGGAAAGUUUUUCGGUCAGGGAUGGGCCCGCGGCCUAUCAGCUAGUUGGUGGGGUAAUGGCCUACCAAGGCGACGACGGGUAGCCGGCCUGAGAGGGCGACCGGGCCACACUGGGACUGAGACACGGCCCAGACUCCUACGGGAGGCAGCAGUGGGGAAUAUUGCGCAAUGGGCGAAAGCCUGACGCAGCGACGCCGCGUGAGGGAUG